rnacentral:rRNA from 1 species
AACGAACGCUGGCGGCAGGCCUAACACAUGCAAGUCGAGCGAGGACUUCGGUCCUUGCGGCGGACGGGUGAGUAACGCGUGGGAACGUGCCCUUUGCUUCGGAAUAGCCCUGGGAAACUGGGAGUAAUACCGGAUGAGCCCUUUGGGGGAAAGAUUUAUCGGCGAAGGAUCGGCCCGCGUUGGAUUAGGUAGUUGGUGGGGUAAUGGCCUACCAAGCCGACGAUCCAUAGCUGGUUUGAGAGGAUGAUCAGCCACACUGGGACUGAGACACGGCCCAGACUCCUACGGGAGGCAGCAGUGGGGAAUCUUAGACAAUGGGGGAAACCCUGAUCUAGCCAUGCCGCGUGAGCGAUGAAGGCCUUAGGGUUGUAAAGCUCUUUCAGCUGGGAAGAUAAUGACGGUACCAGCAGAAGAAGCCCCGGCUAACUCCGUG